rnacentral:rRNA from 1 species
AGAGUUUGAUUAUGGCUCAGGAUAAACGCUGGCGGCAUGCCUAACACAUGCAAGUCGAACGGGGUUUAUAUAACAGAACUCUUCGGAGGGAAGUUAUAUAAACCUAGUGGCGGACGGGUGAGUAACGCGUGGGGAACCUGCCCUGUACCGGGGGACAACAGCCAGAAAUGGCUGCUAAUACCGCAUAAUCCUGCGCUGCCGCAUGGCAGCGCAGGGAAAACUCCGGUGGUACAGGAUGGUCCCGCGUCUGAUUAGCUUGUUGGCGGGGUAACGGCCCACCAAGGCAACGAUCAGUAGCCGGCUUGAGAGAGCGGACGGCCACAUUGGGACUGAGACACGGCCCAGACUCCUGCGGGAGGCAGCAGUGGGGAAUAUUGCACAAUGGGGGGAACCCUGAUGCAGCAAUGCCGCGUGGGUGAAUAAGUACCCCGGUAUGUAAAGCCCUGUCAGC